rnacentral:rRNA from 1 species
UACGUAUGGUGCAAGCGUUAUCCGGAUUUACUGGGUGUAAAGGGAGCGUAGGCGGCGCGUUAAGUCUGAUGUGAAAACCCGAGGCUCAACCACGGGAGUGCAUUAGAAACUGGCGUGCUGGAGUGCCGGAGAGGUAAGCGGAAUUCCUAGUGUAGCGGUGAAAUGCGUAGAUAUUAGGAGGAACACCAGUGGCGAAGGCGGCUUACUGGACGGCAACUGACGCUGAGGCUCGAAAGCGUGGGGAGCAAACAGG